UGGGGAAUGUCUCCUGAAAUGAUUGCUGAUCAGAAGUGGCGAAUCCAUGCCCACAAGGGUGAUUGGAAUGACAACUGUUCCUGGUACUUCGAUGCAUUUUUUGAUCAUCUGAAGACAGAUCCGGAUAAAGAAAGUGAUGAUAAAGCAGAUGAUUCUUCAAGUACAUGUGAAUAGGCUCCCCAGAAAUUAGAUGGGAAAUUCUUUUGAUUCACCGAUUGACUUGUGUUAGUUGAUGCAUAAUUAACAAAUAC
rnacentral:misc_RNA from 1 species